UACGUAGGGGGCAAGCGUUGUUCGGAAUUACUGGGCGUAAAGGGCUCGUAGGCGGCCAACUAAGUCGGACGUGAAAUCCCCAGGCUCAACCUGGGAACUGCGUCCGAUACUGGAUGGCUUGAAUCCGGGAGAGGGAUGCAGAAUUCCAGGUGUAGCGGUGAAAUGCGUAGAUAUCUGGAGGAACACCGGUGGCGAAGGCGGCAUCCUGGACCGACACUGACACUGAGGAGCGAAAGCCAGGGGAGCAAACGGG
rnacentral:rRNA from 1 species